rnacentral:rRNA from 1 species
UACGGGGGGGGCAAGCGUUGUUCGGAAUUACUGGGCGUAAAGGGUUUGUAGGUGGCUUGCUAAGUCAGACGUGAAAUCCCUCAGCUUAACUGGGGAACUGCGUCUGAGACUGGCAAGCUUGAGUGCAGGAGAGGAACGCGGAAUUCCAGGUGUAGCGGUGAAAUGCGUAGAUAUCUGGAGGAAUACCGGUGGCGAAGGCGGCAUCCUGGACCGGCAUUGACGCUGAGGAGCGAAAGCCAGGGGAGCAAACGGG